CCCUUAGAUGUCCUGGGCCGCACGCGCGCUACACUGAUGCAUGCAACGAGUUUAUAACCUUGGCCUGAAAGGUCUGGGUAAUCUUUUGAACGUGCAUCGUGAUAGGGAUAGAUUAUUGCAAUUGUUAAUCUUGAACGAGGAAUUCCUAGUAAACGCGAGUCAUCAGCUCGCAUUGAUUACGUCCCUGCCCUUUGUACACACCGCCCGUCGCACCUACCGAUUGAAUGGUUCGGUUAAGAUCUCGGACUUCGAUAUUUAUUCUUUAUUGAGUUUAUAUUGUGGGAAGUUAUCUAAACCUCAUCAUUUAGAGGAAGGUGAAGUCGUAACA
rnacentral:rRNA from 1 species